rnacentral:rRNA from 1 species
CGGAUUGCAGUCUGCAACUCGACUGCAUGAAGCCGGAAUCGCUAGUAAUCGCGGAUCAGAAUGCCGCGGUGAAUACGUUCCCGGGUCUUGUACACACCGCCCGUCACACCAUGGGAGUCGGAAAUGCCCGAAGCCGGUGGCCUAACCGAUAAGGGAGGAGCCGUCGAAGGCAGGUCUGAUGACUGGGGUGAAGUCGUAACAAGGUAGC